rnacentral:rRNA from 1 species
AACGCGAAGAACCUUACCUGGGCUCGAAGUGCUCGGGACCAGCGGUGGAAACAUCGCCUUCCCGCAAGGGACUCGAGUAGAGGUGCUGCAUGGCUGUCGUCAGCUCGUGCCGUGAGGUGUUGGGUUAAGUCCCGCAACGAGCGCAACCCUUACUCUUAGUUGCCACCCGCAAGGGGGAACUCUAAGAGGACUGCUCCGGAUAACGGAGAGGAAGGUGGGGAUGACGUCAAGUCAGCACGGCCUUUAUGUCCAGGGCUACACACGUGUUACAAUGCACGGUACAAACCGUCGCGAACCCGCGAGGGGGAGCUAAUCGGAGAAAACCGUGCUCAGUUCGGAUUGCAGUCUGCAACUCGACUGCAUGAAGCCGGAAUCGCUAGUAAUGGCGUAUCAGAACGACGCCGUGAAUACGUUCCCGGGCCUUGUA